rnacentral:rRNA from 1 species
AUACGUAGGUGGCAAGCGUUGUCCGGAAUUAUUGGGCGUAAAGCGCAUGUAGGCGGUAAUUUAAGUCUGUCGUGAAACUGCGGGGCUCAGCCCCGUAUGGCGAUGGCAACUGGGUUACUUGAGUGCAGGAGAGGAAAGGGGAACUCCCAGUGUAGCGGUGAAAUGCGUAGAUAUUGGGAAGAACACCGGUGGCGAAGGCGCCUUUCUGGACUGUGUCUGACGCUGAGAUGCGAAAGCCAGGGUAGCGAACGGGAUUAGAUACCCCGGUAGUCCUGGCCGUAAACGAUGGGUACUAGGUGUGGGAGGUAUCGACCCCUUCCGUGCCGGAGUUAACGCAAUAAGUACCCCGCCUGGGGAGUACGGCCGCAAGGCUUAAACUCAAAGGAAUUGACGGGG